rnacentral:misc_RNA from 1 species
UGAGAAUUAGUUCUCUUUUCCUAAGGAUUAGUUCCUUGUUCCUCUUUGUUCUACAUUACUACUACUACUACCUGUUCAUGUAAUCCUUAGCUAGCCCUGUUAACUGGUGUGAUAAUAUCAACUCUUGGCCAUGAUAGGCCAAGUAAUAAUACAGAAAAUAUGGCUCUUGUGGAUACUGGCUAUGUAACGUUUGACGGUUUGAGUAUUUUAUGGCUCCUGACAUAUUGCUUUGUUUUUCGGGAGAUCAUAUGAUUCAGCCAUUCAGCCUCAAGUUGGAUGCCUGUUUGGAUGACCAUGCUAUGAUUACUGGAAUUGCUGACUCCUUUUCUUUUUUGUAGGCUAGUGCCCUACUUAUGCUUACUUACUUUGGUGGGAAGUGCCAUUAUAUGCAAAAGCCAACGCUUGAUGUUCACUUCAGUUAACUUAAUACUAUGCUACUUAAUUUUUGAUCAGAAGCAUUGAUAGAUCAAGUCAUUGUCAUAAUUUGCCAACUCAUUAGU